UGGGGAAUAUUGCACAAUGGGGGAAACCCUGAUGCAGCGACGCCGCGUGAACGAAGAAGGUAUUCGUAUCGGAAAGUUCUGUCCUAUGGGAAGAUAAUGACAGUACCAUAGAAGAAAGCUCCGGCUAAAUACGUGCCAGCAGCCGCGGUAAUACGUAUGGAGCGAGCGUUGUCCGGAAUUAUUGGGCGUAAAGGGUACGCAGGCGGUUUAAUAAGUCGAAUGUUAAAGAUCGGGGCUCAACCCCGCAAAGCAUUGGAAACUGAUAAACUUGAGUAGUGGAGAGGAAAGUGGAAUUCCUAGUGUAGUGGUGAAAUACGUAGAUAUUAGGAGGAAUACCAGUAGCGAAGGCGACUUUCUGGACACAAACUGACGCUGAGGUACGAAUGCGUGGCGAGCAAACAGG
rnacentral:rRNA from 1 species